UGAACGCUGGCGGCAGGCCUAACACAUGCAAGUCGAGCGGUAGCACAGAGAGCUUGCUCUCGGGUGACGAGCGGCGGACGGGUGAGUAAUGUCUGGGAAACUGCCUGAUGGAGGGGGAUAACUACUGGAAACGGUAGCUAAUACCGCAUAAUGUCGCAAGACCAAAGUGGGGGACCUUCGGGCCUCAUGCCAUCAGAUGUGCCCAGAUGGGAUUAGCUAGUAGGUGGGGUAACGGCUCACCUAGGCGACGAUCCCUAGCUGGUCUGAGAGGAUGACCAGCCACACUGGAACUGAGACACGGUCCAGACUCCUACGGGAGGCAGCAGUGGGGAAUAUUGCACAAUGGGCGCAAGCCUGAUGCAGCCAUGCCGCGUGUGUGAAGAAGGCCUUCGGGUUGUAAAGCACUUUCAGCGGGGAGGAAGGCGAUGAGGUUAAUAACCUCGUCGAUUGACGUUACCCGCAGAAGAAGCACCGGCUAACUCCGUGCCAGCAGCCGCGGUAAUACGGAGGGUGCAAGCGUUAAUCGGAAUUACUGGGCGUAAAGCGCACGCAGGCGGUCUGUCAAGUCGGAUGUGAAAUCCCCGGGCUCAACCUGGGAACUGCAUUCGAAACUGGCAGGCUAGAGUCUUGUAGAGGGGGGUAGAAUUCCAGGUGUAGCGGUGAAAUGCGUAGAGAUCUGGAGGAAUACCGGUGGCGAAGGCGGCCCCCUGGACAAAGACUGACGCUCAGGUGCGAAAGCGUGGGGAGCAAACAGGAUUAGAUACCCUGGUAGUCCACGCCGUAAACGAUGUCGAUUUGGAGGUUGUGCCCUUGAGGCGUGGCUUCCGGAGCUAACGCGUUAAAUCGACCGCCUGGGGAGUACGGCCGCAAGGUUA
rnacentral:rRNA from 1 species